CUUGCUGAUGACAUUCUCGACCAUAUCUCUACCAAAGCUGCUAUUUCCAAGAAGAACAAGGAGGUGAGUACUGUUAACUACUUCUCUAGCUUUUUCAACUCUGAGGAAAGAGAUUUGGGUUGUAAGCUGGAAGAUAUAGUUGCUAGGCUUGAAUACAUUCUCAAAUUCCAACAUAUUCUCUGUCUUCAACAUAUUGCAACUUACCACUCAUCCUGGAGAUCUCCAUCAACCUCUUUAGAAGACAGAUCUGUCAUAUUUGGCAGGGAUCAUGAUAAAGAUGCCAUAAUCAAAUUACUCUUAGAUGAAGAUGAUG